rnacentral:rRNA from 1 species
CCCUUAGAUGUUCUGGGCUGCACGCGUGCUACACUGAUAUUGCCAAUAUGUCAUUCUUAUCCGAAAUGGAUUGGGUAAUCAAGUAAUGAAAUUUCAUGCUUGGAAUCGGUAAUUGCAAUUUUAUCGUGAACGAGGAAUUCCUAGUAAGCACUAGUCAUCAGCUAAUGUUGAUUAUGUCCCUGCCCUUUGUACACACCGCCCGUCGCUACUACUGAUUGGGUGUUCAAGUGAGAUGCUUAGACCCUUGUUGCAUGGUUCAUUAUUGUGCUCCGAAAGGAAAAGUUUCAAGCUUGAGUGUCUAGAGGAAGUAAAAGUCGUAACA